CCUCCCUGAGCCUGGUUCUGCUGGAGGGAGUUUUUCCUUCCCACUGUCACCAAGUGCUUCUACUGUUGGGUUCUCUCUUGCUUCAAACUGCUCUGUGGAACAGGGACUGAUGGACGUCUCUGAGUUGGACUGAAGUAAAAGUUUUCCAGAGUUUGCUUCUUUAUUCGAGAGCCUGACGGAGACAGAAGAACUCAUUUAACCCCUGACCUACGAGCCAUCAUCAGUGACACAAACUUCACCAAUCAGAACAGGAUUUUUUUAAAAUUUGGCAGUCAGGAUAAAGAUUUCCCUCUGACAAAUCAGAGUCAAAAACUCUUCACCUUUUCCCACAAAUACAGGCUCAGUUUUCAGGACUGAGAUGCAGAAGAAGCUUCAUCUUAAAGAACAGCAGUUUGAUAAGAUUAGAUUUCACAGAUUCAGCUCCUCCCUAACAGCUCAUUGAACCUGGAGUUUAUCUAACCUGGAGGGGAUUGUUUAAGAUGAGAUUAGGGAGAAAAAGGGGAAGAAUCCCAGAUGGAUUAUUCUGAGAAUGGCGAGGAGUAGGAAACAACUAAAAAGUGGAUAAACGCUCCAACACUGAGGGAUUAAAGGGCUUUACCUGGAUUUAAAGUGUGCAUUAAAGUCUAUGUGUCCUUAUUAAAGCUGUUUCUGGAGAAGAGUGUUGUGAUGCAUUCAGCUCAGUGAAAGUGUGCCUGAUGGAUGUCCUCCUGUGAGCUUCUUUGUGUUCAGCAGUUCAUAUUUCUCAUUCAUAAUGCAUUCAUCCAAAACAGC